CUUUUGAAAAACUCCAUUUUCAUACAAAACCUGAUUUACUCUUCAUUACUUCUGGGUUUGGUUUUCAUUGGAAGGAAAACUUGGUCAAACUUACAUUGUCAAUUUUCGCGAUCUUACCACACGUUUUGGAACAUACAAGGAUGAUGAAGCAACAUUGACCUCCUCUGUUGAUGUAGAAUGACCGUUGCCCAUCCUGGAGGACUGAUAAUCGAUCUCGACUAUAUCAACUAUCCACAGUGUCAUGUUUUCAGUGGCUGUCCAAUGACCUGGCUCAUCAUGGGUGACAGAAUUUCUCCAAGGGGGAGGUCCUUGGUUAGCCCUUAAGAAACUACCUGCAUGACUCUGAAGUUUGAUAAAUGGAUCUUCAGUGGUGGCUAAGUACCUCCAGCUGCAACAGCUUCUGAGUCGGAUGAGUUUGGGCUUCCCCUCAACAAGCUCGUAGGUCCAACGGGAAUUGUUUGAAGAUUUAUCGCGACUUUGCUUGAUGGUUUCCUCGUCUUUGUGAGCUAUCAGGUACUUGCUUUGCCCACUGCGUUUUAGCCGAAACACUUUUGCUCUGUGCAAGAAUUCCAUUUUCUGUUAAGAGGGACUUGUUUUGGACUUUGAUUACAAGGGAAGGGAGGUAAAGCAUAGGAAUUGAUCGAUCUGGUCCACUUGACUUUGUAGACUUUUAGUCUUUGUCAACGGGCAUGAUAAGCUGCUUGUUCAAGGGAGAUACAAACAAAUAUUGAGUUUUGUAGAAACAAACAAACAACUAACAUGUGUAACUUAUACGUCGUAUAUUUUUUUUAAUUAUCGGGGAAAAAUAAGUGACAUAGACGAGAUAUUGUCGAGAUGUGAUCUCAUAUUAGGGUACGAGUUUCAUAAAUGUUUUCAUCUGAAGUUUUUCAGUACAGGUCGUCUUUCGCGAUUGAGAUGUCCCACGUCCUAUCAUAAACAGUUGGUGGCUUAAUGGAGGGUCAUGAACUCAUUAAUUUAGAAUUGACAUUAUGGUUUGUUUCAAGUUGGACACAAUACUACGUACUGUACAACUUUUCUGAGUUGUAUGAGUUUGAAAAGUCAUAAAACAAACUAUGUUCUGUAUAAAAAUCAGGUUACAUGUUCAGAAAAAUGAUUGAAGAGGUAACAUAUUAAUGUUUACAAUAUUUCAAAUAGUAUUUAAUUUAAUCAUGAAAAGAAUUAGAUACAAAAUGAAGGCCAUUAAAUUAAUUAAACAUCCUGUAACAAUGUCUUAAUCUCAACCCACUCUUUCUCAACUCUCUGUAAUUUUCUUUCAGCUUCAAGUUUCCUUGCUUGCCAUGAUUCCUCCUCUGCUUCCAUCUCCUCUAGUCUUUCAUUUUUCUUGGCUAUUCGUGAUCUGAGCACUUCCACAGCCUUGAUGCUGCUAUCAGUUUCUUCUAGUUCCAUUAACAACUCCUCUUUGUUAGCUCUUGCAUUUACAAACUCAUCACUGAACCAUUUUUCAAGAGUGGCCUCUAACACACAAGCCUUGGUCACAUCUUUAUCAACCUCGGCCUUCAUCUCCACUGUUUUACUAGCAAAUGUAGCAUAUUCAACUAAAUCCUGAGUGGCCAAAUCAUGGUCAGUUUUCAUGGUCUUGAGUUGCUUUUGUAGUGUUUCUUGGCGCGAUGUUUUUGCAUCAACAGAAACAACAUUUACUGCCUUUUCUAGCUCCUUGUAUAGUCCUAAAGAUAAGAUGCCAUGAAAAUCCAUGUCCUUUAGUUCUUUGAGGGAUUGCUUAGCCAUCUUGACUUCUGAUUGGUUAACGCGUUCUGUAUCUAAUGUUGCUCGUUCUUUUACACCAUAAACUUUGUCUUCUAGGCCAUCUAACAUAGCUUUUAGGUUGCUGAAGGAGUCAGACUUCUGGGUUUAGGAACAUAACAUAGCCCGAGUCCAAGCCCAACAAAAGGUAAAAAUGUUUGUUAGGAGUAUUCUGAAUCGGAAUGAGAAAAAAUAAAAACACAUUGGUGUAAUUUUUCUGAUUCUUUUAAUGGUGUAAUAUUUUAUCACAUGGUUUUGAGUUGAUUAGAUGAUUUAAAUCCAGAAAAUGAAACAAUUUUGGAAAGAGCAGAAGAAACAUUUAAAGAAAAACAUGAGAGUUAUGGUCAUACCUCGACGGAGGAAGACGAAUACAUAGCAGGGCCAUCAUCCUCAAUUGACAAAGAAGAGCAAUUUGACAAAGGUGUCUGAUCCUUUACAUUACUGAAGCGUGGAGGAACAACAUUACCCUUAACCUUGUCCAAUGAUUUAGGAGUUGAAUUAUGAUCAAUUUCAACUAUAUCAACGAUCCACAGAAUCAUACUCUCAGAAGCUGUCCAAUGACCAGGAAGAUCAUGUGUAAUGGUAUUCCUCCAAGGGGGAAGGCCUCUGUUGGCUCUUAAGAAAGUUCCGGUAUGACUUUUGAGUUUGAUGUAAGGCCCUUCAUUGAUCGGCUCCCAUUCGACUGUAGGACCGAGCCAAGGUCUUUGUGCAACUCUCUUUCCUGUCAUUCCAAGCAGGAAAUGCUCUUCAGACGCGGCUAAGUACUUCCAACUGUUGCAGCUUCUGAUACGGAUCACAUUGUUCUUUCCCUCAACAGGCUCAAAGGACCAACGUGUGUAUGUUGAGGAAUUGUCGCGGGUUUGUUUAACUGUAUCUCCAUCUUGAUCUGCUAUCAGGUACUUGCUUUGGUUGCUGCUUUUCAGCCGGAAGACCUUUGCUCUUUGGAAGAAUUCCAUUUUUCAGAUAGCUGGGCAAGGGUUAAGGAAUCAGUCUUUUCUUCUCAUCAUGGUUUUUAGGCUUAGUUUGUAAGGAAAAGG